UGCUGAUAGUUGAUUAACUUUUCAGUCCGUGCAUGAGUACCGACUUUGAGUCAAGUUUGUUGUAUUUAAGCCAACCUGUAAUAGAGACCCUUUUUAUGUUCAAUUCUUUCUCCGGUAGAACUCUAUCAGUUAACUCUUUUCCCUUUUGCUGUCGCCUCACCUCUCCUAGAUUUUAUAGAACUCUUUUACUUUAAAUCCUUUUCUUACUGAACUCCUUGUUCCACUUAACUUCUUUAAGACUUCUUUUCUGAUCUGACUCAGCUUCUGAUAUAAUCAAUGUUAUCUAUGCUUGUCUUGAACGCAGAAUCACAUCAUCCAAAAUUCUGUGCUAGCUAGACUAUUUCACC
rnacentral:lncRNA from 1 species